rnacentral:lncRNA from 1 species
UGUUAGUGGGGUAUUGAUCAGUGCAUUUUGAUGCACGUUCUUCCAUGUUUGUACUUAAGCAUUUCUUCGGUUUGCUUUACUUAUUUUUAUGUUUUAAUGUGUUUUUACAAUUUAUUUUAUUUUUGCACUUAUUUGUUUUUCGCAUUAUAUUUUCAGCAUUAGCAGCUUUCACGAGAAAAAUCAUAUCUUAAGCUACGAGUAUCAGAUUGAGGCUUCUGAGUAUGUGUUGGAAAGCUAAGGAAAAG